UGGCGAUAAAUCAUUCAAGUUUCUGACCUAUCAGCUUUCGACGGUAAGGUAUUGGCUUACCGUGGCAGUGACGGUUAACGGGGGAUUAGGGUUCAAUUCCGGAGAGGGAGCCUGAGAAACGGCUACCACAUCUAAGGAAGGCAGCAGGCGCGCAAAUUACCCAAUUCUAACAGCAUAAGAGAGGUAGUGACAAGAAAUAACAGUACAAGGCAGUUAAAAUGCUUUGUAAUUGGAAUGAUAGAAAUUUAAAUACUUUUUAAAGUAUCAAUUGGAGGGCAAGUCUGGUGCCAGCAGCCGCGGUAAUUCCAGCUACCAAUAGCGUAUAUUAAAAUUGUUGCAGUUAAA
rnacentral:rRNA from 1 species